rnacentral:lncRNA from 1 species
AUGGGAAGGAGUAAAGUAAUUGUGGCAGAUAAGGAGGCUGCUGAUUUGAUGAUCUCCUUUUUUUUUUUUUUUUAUGAUCUCCUUUUGAAGACAUCUGGCCAGGCCCUGGUCACAACGCAGUUUUCCCAACUCCCAAAUGGUGGAUAUUUUCAAGUUGGUCUUCAGGAAACAAUGAAACCCACCGAAUCCUUCCGAUGAGCCUGGAAGUGGCCAGCUCAACCCUCCCCAGCUCUGCCUGGGAUCUACAGAGGGCCUGGUGGGCAGGGAUAAGGCCACAGUUGCUAAGAAACCAGGGUUGCGGCUCAACCGGCUGAGGCCUGCAGGCUGUGCUGACAUGAUGGGGGACAGUGGCACACGCCCAAGGCCACAUCUGGCUGCAGAUCUAAUAGCUACACAACUGCGCUAAUGAAGACACUGUCUCCUACAGGCUUGCUCAGCUGCUUGCCCUCUCCCUUCAUUCCCGUUGUCAUCUCCUGUUGAGUCUACCCAAUGAAACUUUCCUGUUAGCAUCCCCCACCUUCUCCCUGCCACUGGCUUAUUAGUUCACUCUUUAUCAUCUCUCAUGGGAAUCAUUGCCAUAGACUUUCCCUGGUCCUAGGCCUCCCAUUUCAAACCUCUCUGUAUUCAACAAAUCCCGGUCAUUGGGAUUUGUUAAAUGUCUCAAGAGCUACUUGUAGCUCUAGUGUCAUAAAGAAUAUCCUUUGGUUUUGACUAAAUCUGACCGUCUCUCUUUUUGUCUCCUGGUUCCCAUCAUUCACUUUUCUAUUACAAAUACCUUUAUGAGAUAAGAGGUUUUUAAGACCAGUCUCCUCUUGUAGAUUCCAGCAGCAAUUAGAUAAGCAGUAAUGGAUAGUAACGCAGGGACAGAUUUUAAUUAUUUUUUUAUAGCUCAAUAUUAACUCAUACUAAUAUGGACCCAAGAGCUAAUUUCCAUUUGACUUUUAUUUUUGAGCACCUUCUCUGUGUAGGGCAUCAGGACAAUUUCUGUAGACAUGGGCUAGGCAGCUGUUGCCAAAGUGGCUUGUGUAGUACUUGAUGAUAACUCUUUGUAGGGCUAGUAGUGUUUUCUGAGCUAAUAACAGCACAUUCUAGAAAUUCUAAUUCUUGAAAAUAUCCAACUAGGGUGGCUAAAACCUCAUUUUUGUCAUUUUUUUUCUAGUAAUACUCAAAUUCCUUCUCCAUAGCUGCUAUAACUUGG